GUGCCUGAACAUCUUGGCUCUUGUUUUGGUCCCACAAGUCCUAGGCUGAGGGAGGAUCCUGAAUUAUAGCGGUCACCCGGUCUACCCCGAUUUUAUUUCCGGUCUCUUUCCUAUGAGCAGUGUACGCAAGAACCGUCCCCGGGGAAAGAAGAGGACAAACCCCUUAACGGUAGUGGAUAUCCCUCUACCAGAAGUCCCGCCCUCUCUCUAGCUCUCGCCGCUUAACCCAUGUAACUGACAGUCCCGCCCUCUCUAUUGCCAAUAACGCCCAUUCAGAAUUCAUACAAGCAUGAGAACUCCUGAGAAAGAGGUAACAGACAGUGGAUGUUGAGGUCAGUCAUGCCUUGGACGUGGAGCACGCUGCUUCUUUGGAAUUCCCUCUACAUCUUUAUUUUUCUGGUCGAUGGAGCAGUGUUCAUCACACAUAAUGAAGAUAUGCAGAGGGACGCUGAGGCUGUUGCGAGCCCCAUUUCUCGUCAGAAACGUAGUACAAACAAUGCAAAGACGGUGGAGGUGCUCAGUGUCACAGUACACUGUACGGUGGCUUCUCGGUUCGCUCACACAGUCGUGACCUCCAGUGCUUUGAACAAAGCCAACUCCUCCCAGGAAAUAUUCUUCGAGGUGGACCUGCCCAAGACGGCCUUCAUCACCAACUUCACCAUGGAGAUUGAGGGUCAGGUCUAUAUUGGGAAGGUGAAUGAAAAAGAGAAGGCUAGGAAGCAGUAUGACAAAGCAGUGUCUAAAGGGCAGACGGCUGGACUGGUCAAAGCUUCUGGAAGGACGAUGGAGACGUUCUCUGUGUCCGUCAACAUUAGAGCCAAGAGCAAUGUGACCUUCAUCCUGACCUAUGAGGAGCUUCUUCAGAGGAAAUUGGGCCAGUAUGAGAUCCUGACCCGAAUAAACCCCAAACAGCUGGUCCAGAACUUUGAGAUUGUGGCUGAUAUCUAUGAGGCCCAGGGCAUUGCCUUUGUGGAUGCCGCUGGAACCUUCCUUUCCAAUGAACUCCUCCCACUGGUGAAAAAAACUGUCACAGACAACAAGGCACACAUCUCCUUCUCGCCCACGCUGGAUCAGCAGAGGAAGUGUCCAGAGUGUGAUGGGUCUCUGAUCAAUGGGGAUUUCAUCAUCAAGUAUGACGUGAAACGAGCAUCAAGCCUAGGAGACAUUCAGAUCGUGAACGGAUACUUUGUGCAUUUCUUUGCUCCUCCGGAUCUUCCUCGCAUCCCAAAGAAUGUGGUGUUUGUCAUUGACAGAAGUGGUUCAAUGUCAGGCACUAAGAUGACACAGACUCGAGAGGCAAUGCUGGCCAUUCUGCAAGACCUACACCAUGAAGACCAUUUCGGCCUCAUCCAAUUUUCCAACACCAUUCUCCAGUGGAAGAAUUCUCUUAUGAAGGCCACGAGAGAAAUGUGACCAACGCAAUGGAGUAUGUCAAGAGAAUCAGGGAUAGCGGAAGUACGGAUAUCAACGGCGCCGUGUUGAGAGCAGUGGACAUGUUGAAGCGGGAAAAGGGAGGCAACACAGACAAGUGUGGGACAUGAUUAUCUUACUGACUGACGGAAUGCCCAAUUCAGGGGAGAGCUCCCUCCCAAAGAUCCAGAAGAACGUGCUCAAAGCCAUCGGUGGUAACAUGUCUCUGUUCUGCCUGGGCUUGGGAACACGUGGAUUACUCCUUCCUGGAUGUGAUGGCCAAACAAAAUAAGGGAGCUGGCACGCAGGAUCUAUGAAGCCUCGGAUGCAACCCUUCAGCUGCAGGGUUUCUUUGAGGAGGUGGCCACCCCUCUGCUCUCUGAGGUGGACCUGCGUUACCCUGACAACGUGGUGGAGUCCUUAACCCCUCAUCACUUCAGUCAGCUGUUCAAUGGCUCAGAGAUCGUGGUGGCCGGGCGGCUGUCUGACAAUGACAUGGACAACUUCCUGGUGGAAGUGCAGGCUGAUGGACAUGGGAAUGACUUCCAGGUGCAGGGAAAAGCCAGGGUGGCUGAGUGGGACCAGAUCUAUCCAGAGCAGGAGUACAUUUUCGGGAACUUCAGUGAGCGCCUGUGGGCUUACCUCACCCUCCAACAGCUACUGGUCGCAAGUGAGCUGGGUUCACCGGAGGAGAAGAGCAACUCCACGGCCAAAGCCCUGGAGAUGUCCCUGAAGUACAGCUUCGUCACGCCCCUCACCUCCAUGGUGGUCACCAAGCCAGAGACUGAGGAUGGUCCCAGCGGGCCCCUCAUAGCAGACAAGCUGACUGAGGGAGAGCGACGUUUUGUGGAGAAGGACGUCAGGGCACAAGCAGCCCCGAAAGACAGUGCUAGGAAAGCCCAAAGCGUAAGGUCCAGACCGGCAGCUAGACAGAGGAGUUACGAUAAUGUGGAUGGAGAUCCUCAUUUUAUGAUAGAGCUGCCAGAGAGAGAGGACGCACUGUGCUUUGACAUCAACGGAUCACCUGGAACCAUCUUGAACCUGGUUAAAGACUCCUCCUCAGGUUUUCUGGUUAACGGGCAACUCGUUGCGAAAAAGCAAAAGAAAGCGAGCGCGAGUGGAGUCAAGACCUACUUUGACCACAUCGGUGUGGACCACCAAGCCCUGGGGGUGAGGCUUGAGGUGACCACUGAGUUCAUCACUCUGUCCCAGGACGGUCAACAGGUCAAGCUGCUGUGGUCAGAUCAAGCUUCCCUCAAAGGACCAAGUGUGAAGCUUAAGGUGAUGAACAACAACAGUCUGACCGUGACCAUAAGGGACUACAUCAAGUUUAAAGUGGUCAGGCACACAAAGGUGUGGAGUAAACGGCACUACCAUCAGGAUUAUCUGGGAUUCUACACAUUGGAAAGUCAUCGUAUGUCCCAGGAAGUCCACGGCCUGCUAGGUCAGUUCUACCAUGGGAUUGGGUUUGAGGUUGGAGAUCAACGUCCAGGAGAGGCUCCUGAGAAACCAGAUGCCACCAUGUAUGUCAAAGGACAUCAGCUCAAUGUGACCAGGAGCUGGCAUCAAGACUUCAGGAAGGAUGUGCAGAGAGGAGUGCAUGUUCCCUGCUGGUUCGCUCACAGUAAUGGAACAGGGCUCAUUGACGGGAGUGCUUCAGAUUACAUUGUGUCAGGCCUCUUUAAGACUGACAAGUAGGUAGUAUCAUUGAUUACAUAGCCAGACACUUCAGGCCGGCUAACAGCCUCUCUAUUUCAAUCACCUCUCAGUGGCAGCCCAGGGACCACAGGGAUUGGAGAAGUUCCAUAUCCCUGAUAAAGGGGCCAUUUGGCUAACUUUAAUUUCAGCUACUUAUGGCAUAGGUCUGGUUGAGGAGUUUUAACUGAAGGAGCCACUCAUUGGCACUUAUGGGUUCAGAUCACGGAUGCAUCUGUAAUCUGUGUACGAUAUUUCUAAACAAGCGUGUUCUCCCAUGAUAUCUGAAAUCUUCGGUUGCCUCCAGGGGAGUUUGUUUGCUGUAACAAUGGAGGAGAAUUAGGGAUUUAGCAGUAGUACUUAUUCCAACUGUUGAAGUGACGACAUUAAGCCGAUUAUCUCAAAGUAUUUUUUUAAUAUUCUCAUAUUUCUAAAUUGUAUUAAAAGGAAAAAUUGUGCCAAAAUCACCUGAUUUUUGAUGUUUGUAUGCAGCACCAAUUAUGCUUCAUUAAAAAAAAAAUACAAAACCAAAA